AAGGAAUUUAAUAGUGGGCUUGUAAACUCUAAACCUUGGUCAUA
rnacentral:sRNA from 1 species